UACGUAGGGGGCGAGCGUUGUCCGGAUUUAUUGGGCGUAAAGAGCGUGUAGGCGGCCAGGUAGGUCUGCUGUGAAAACUCGAGGCUCAACCUCGAGACGUCGGCGGAAACCAUCUGGCUAGAGUCCGGAAGAGGAGAGUGGAAUUCCCAGUGUAGCGGUGAAAUGCGUAGAUAUCAGGAGGAACACCGAUGGCGAAGGCAGGUCUCUGGGCUGACACUGACGCUCAUGCACGAAAGCGUGGGGAGCAAACAGG
rnacentral:rRNA from 1 species